CCCCGCGCCUCCCGCGCUCGGCCCCCAGCCCGGGCCGCCCCCCGCCCGCUGACCCGCGGGCCGGGCCGCCGCCGAGACCCUACGUCCCCGGGAAGGGCGGGACGGGCGCGUCGAGCCCCGCGCCGGCCUCGGGGUCGGGACUCAGGAGGACCCCCACAGGACCGUAUCAGCCCGGGUUGGACUUGGGGGAACCUUCUCAUGCCCAUGCCUGGGGAAGUGAACAUCACCAUGAUCUUCCAGCUCAGCCCCAUUCUAAAAGCAGCCGGACUGGGAGGCAGACAUUCACUCCUCAGAGGACAGCUAGAAUGGGUUGGCCAAGGGCUUGCCGUGCCUGUUAAGUAGAAGUUACUCGCCUUGGAGCGCCGCGUGCCUGCUUCUGGUUUGGGAUUGUCUCCGACAGGUGGCACGUACCUGCCUCUUCUCCGACGAUGGACGAGCGGAGCCGGGCACAAGCAUGGAGCUGUGGGUGAGUCCCGGCUGGUACUGGCGCGGCGCGGUGAGCAGCAGCUGACGCAGAGGGCUCCCUGGCCUCGGCUCCUGCCCGCCUCUCCCCCACCUCCGCCGGGGGCCCGGUAAGGACCUCCCCGGGAAAUCGGCGCCACCCAGCGGGCAGCCGCCUCAUUGCGCCCUGGCCGGCAAAGCCGCGCCGCGCGUCUCGCGUCACUGAGACGCGUCACGGCUAUUGGCUUGUUCCUAUUGUGGCGUCAGGAGAGCCCCGCCCGGCCGGGGUCUCCCAGGCGACCGGUAUAUACAGAGAAGCACGUGGAGGAAAAGCGCGCGGGCUCGGAGGGGGUGGAGCGCGACAAGAAGUGGACCGGGUAUGUGUACUAUUAUCUCCAUUUUAUAAAUGAGGAAACGGAGGCACAGAGAAGCGCAUCAAUGGGGUGAACUGUAUCUUUGGAAAUACCCCAGAGUGAUGUGGAUUCAGGUCUGAGGGAUCAGGACAGCUGUCCGCAGGGAUCCAAGCCGCUCAGAUCUGGCAAAGGCACCAUCUUAACUCAUGCCACACUUGUCACUGAGGGUGAAGAGAGACCAGGGGAUCUGCUCGUCUAUGCUUCCGGCGGAGGUGACACUCGGACCUGCAGCCCACUGGCUACAAGGUGCCUGGCUCUGCAGCUGCAGGUGGCUGGGAAAUGUGGGGAGCACACAUCUGCCGUCAAGUCUCUGUUUCUCGAAGUAACACAUGCAGCAGCUGCCUCUGCCAAGAGCCUAUGGGAACCUCCUACCAGUUCAUGUCCAAGUUCCUGCCAGCCCCGCGAUGAUUUGGCCCCACCUGAUGCUCCCCAGCCCAUCACCUGCCACUCCUCAGUGUGAACUCUCUGCUCCAGGUUAUCGAGCUAAGUCCUUCCUCCAAGCCCCUGCUCACGCCGCUCUCCUUGUUUAUCAGUCUUUUGCUACUUCUUUCCUACAUUCUUCAGGGCCCAAGUCAAGGUCAAUCUCUUUUGUGAAAAAGCCUCCUCUUGGCUCAGCCCCUAGUGCUCUCCCGUCUCAGAGCUCUUCCUCAGCUUAUUUUUAAGCUCUCACUCAGUCCUGAGCAUAUGUUCCUUCGGUAGCCCGUGUAGAUUGCAACCCUUGGAGGUCAAGGGCUGUCUCAUCGUCUUUGCCUUCUCAGUAAGUGCUCUCAGUGAUUUUAAUUCAUGAAUGGUUAUUAAACACCUACUAAAUGCCAGACACCAAGCUCAGCGAGGAGGAUGCAAAGAACAACGAAACAUGAUCCCGGAAGGAAAGAAACUAGCAUUUUUAUGUGCCGGCCGUGUAACAUUUAAUGAUUAAGAGAGCGCUCUGGAGGCACCUGGGUGGCUCAGUCAUUAAGCGUCUGCCUUCAGCUCAGGUCAUGAUCCCAGGGUCCUGGGAUCGAGCCCCACAUCAGGCUCCCUACUCUGCAGGAAGCCUACUUCUCACUCUCCCACUCCCCCUGCUUGUGUUCUCUCUCUCUCUGUCAAAUAAAAUCUUAAAAAAAAAAAAAAGAGCGCUCUGGCGUGGGCUUGGGGUCAAAUCCUGCCUCUGGUUAAAUUAGCUACAAGACCUCAGGCUGUUACUUAACUUCUUUAGCUUGAAUUUUCUCACUUCAACAAUAAUACUGAUCACUAUUCGCUUCUCAGAAGGACUGCUGUAACAAAUUAUAGAAGGGUAUUCUCUCUACGGCUCUGGACGCCGGCAGUCUGAAAUCAAGGUGUUGGCAAGACUGCUCUCUCUGUAAGACUCUAGGGAAGACUUCCUCCCUGGCCUCUUCAUAGUUCUGGUGGCGCCCAGCAAUCCUUGGUGUCACUUGGCUUGUAGGUGCCUUAUUCCAAUCUCUGCCUCUGCCUUAAUGUGACAUUCUUCUCUCUCUCUCUCUCUCUCUGUAUGUCUUCUCCUUUUUUUUAACAAAGACAUCAGCUGUUGUACUUAAGGCUCGCCCUCAUCCACUAUGACCUCAUCUCAACUCAUUACAUCCGAAAAACCCUAGUUCCAAAUAAGGUCACAUUGUAAGAUUCUGGGUUGACAUAUAUUUUGGGAGGGGACACAUACUCAACCCUCGACACCCACCUCAUAAGAUUAUUGUGAGGAUUAAAUAAGAUGGUGCCUGUAAAUCAUUUGGCACAAUGCCUGGUGCACAGAAAAAACUCCUCAAAUGUUACUCAUUUUAAGAACAGUAUGUUAAUCAGGAUUAUUUUAUUUGCAAGUAUCAGAAACCCAACUCAGCCCUGGUGUGGCUGGAUCUGGGUACUUAAAUGAGGCUAUUAGGAAUCUUGCCCUCUUCAUCUCUCGGCUGUCUAUGUUGUCUUUAUUCUCGGGGCAUGAUCUCCCAGUGAGGUGGUGAAGACAUCCCUUCAGCAGGUCCAGGGCUCCAUUUGACUAGCUGAUCAUCCUCAGUGGAAAAGCAACACUUUUUUUCUCAAGAGCUCCAGCAAAAGUCUCAGGGCUGACUCUCAUGAAGCUAGUCUGGACCAUGAGCCCAUCCUGGAAACAAUCUCUGUGGUCAGGGAGAUGAAUAUCCUGAACGGUGUUGGGGGGGUUGGUGAGGGAUGGGGUGGAGGGUUAGCCAACGUGGAACCACUUGAACAGCAGGUGAAGGAGGGGUGGUUCGCAGAAGGGAAAUCCCAGUGCCGGCCGAUCAGAUGCUGAGCGGGCAAAAACAGCUCGUGUUCUGUAGAUCGUGGCAAUGCUGUGUUCCAGCUCCCAGCCCAGUGCCUGGGACCGUGCAGGAGUGCAGUAGGUGCUUACUGAAAGAUGGCAUGGAUGGUGCAAGAAGGAACAUGCUAGUCACCAAGUCAAUUUGCUCAUGUUUUUUCAUUAGUUCCCGCAAUAGCAGGCAAAGGAGGUAUUAUUAUUUUCAGCUUGCAGUUGUAGAAACUGAGGCUUAAGUGAUUGAGGCUUAAUUGAGUUUAAGUGAUCUGUCCAAGAUGACAGAAUGAACAAGUGGUGGAGCCAGGAUUCAAAGCCAGGUAGGUCUCAUUGCAGAGCCUGUGUACCUUCUGUCAUACCACACUAUCUUUGUCCCCCAGACUCACUGCCAGAGAAGAAAGAGUUUGAAGUCAUACUAUGGAUUUUAGGUGCAACAACAAAAUAAUGCAUUUCCUAGUCACCUUCCCACAAUUUACCACUCCAGAAGCUCAAGCCCCCCUGUUCCUUUGUCUGGUCACUUCUUCCAAUGUAUUGCCCUUUGUUAAAAAUGGUAUAUAAGCCCCUGGACUUAACCAUCUCUUUGGGUUUUCACUUCUUUUCUGUGAAGCUCCAUGCCUGUAAAAAUAUUAACAUCAAUAACAUUUGUAUGCCUUCGUCUGCUAAUCUGCCUUUUGUUAGUUUAAUUUGCAGACCCCAGGUACAGAACUGAAAGGGUAGAGGAAAGGUGGUUCAUUUCCUACAGUGAUAUUUAGGCUGUUUCUAGUUUUCAGCUGUUAGGAAUAAAGCCACUCUGAAUAGUCUUGCCCAUGUCCUUUGGUGGACAUAAACCAAAGCACUCAUUUCUUUUAGAUAUACACCUCAGAGUGAAAUCAUUGGGUCAUCUGGAUAUCUUCUAUCAAACAUUUGUUGCUCUCCGUCUCUUUCCUCUUGGAGUCCCUCAGAUUGUGCAGAACCCUUGCCUGCCGCGACCUCGCUAAGCCUAAAGGCAGAGGGUUGGAUAAAAUGACCUCCUGAGGCCUCUUGGCAUUUCCCAGAAGGAUUUAGCCAUAGGUCUCUGGCCCCAGCUCCCGCCUGUUUGCUCAUGAAAACAUUUCAUGUGAUUAGCCAAGUAAUGACAUCUUAAAACUGUAGAGCUAAUAUAUUACGUAAUAAAACACAGGAGCAAAUCUCUUUGACACAUACUGGUGAUUUACUCUGUCAGCCAUAAAGAUAAUUACAUUUCAGGUUGAUAUAUAAAAGGCGGCAGGCAGAGCUUAUGAAGAAUUAGCAUGGUUUUAUGUCGGACCUCUCCAUCCACGCGGACCUGUUCAUCAUUCCUCUCGCAACCAGCCAGCAAACACUGACUCAGCUGGGCCUGCCCAGCCACUGGCCACUGCUGCUACUAAAAGG